rnacentral:lncRNA from 1 species
UGAUGGAUUGAUGCUAAGUCAGAACUUGGAAACUGAGCCUCAAUGGUUGGAGAGGAACACUGUCAGGAGAGUUGGACAUGUUUGAUUAGAUCAUUCCUACUAAAUAAACCAUCAUAAAAUAAAAUCAUGUACUGGAAUAUACAUAUUGGAUUUCUAAACUUGAAAACUGAGUUUCAAAGGUUGGAGAUGAACACGAGGACAGCUGGACACAUUUGAUUGGAUCAUACAUACUAAUCAACCACCAUUGAAUAAAAAUCCUGGUUCUGCUCUUCUCCUUUUAUUCCAGAUUAACGCGGGGAUGCUUUGGAGUGGGUAAUCAUCAUAGAUACGGAGAUAAACAAAAAGUGUGCAACUGAUACCAAUUUACAGAAUGUUUCUAAAGUAUCCAAUGACAAAUAACUGCAGGGACCUGCAAAAUAGAAAAUCAAGUUAAUAAAAGUUAUCUACAUAUAAGUUGUAAUAUUAUUUAAUAAUUGAAGUCUUGAUUUAAUGAGACAAACUACAAUGGCCCUAACACUCUGCUUGAACUACACUAAUUAUGAUUUAUGAAUGAACAGAGAUCAAUUCCAAUUGUGUAACCGUGAAAGACCAUCUCUACUUUUGUAGUGCUCUAGCUCUAGAAAAGCAGUCCAUCAUAGUUGUACUGAUUCUCGUCAGUAACAGCAAAAGCUAAUCCCAACCGAAGAGUAUAAUAUAGUUGUCGGGAACCUGCUAGUACACAUCCCAACUGGAUCGAGCAUUACCCGGGGUAGGCCGGCUGGACGCAGAGGUGGCCGGGGUAGACCUUGGCGCGGUUGCGCCUUGUGCUCGAUGCGCUGGAGGCGCGUCUCCCUCGAGCACAUGAAGAGGAG